rnacentral:rRNA from 1 species
AGUCGAACGCGAAAGCCUGGGCAACUGGGCGAGUAGAGUGGCGCACGGGUGAGUAACACGUGGGUAACCUGCCUUCGAGUGGGGAAUAACUCCUCGAAAGGGGAGCUAAUACCGCAUAAGACCACGACCUCUUCGGGGGUCGCGAUCAAAGGUGGCCUCAUCAAGCAGAGUGUUUGGGACGAUCUUCCCGAGCGGAGGAUAGUCCUUAGCGCUUUGCACAGUGAAGCUGCUGCUCGAAGAGGGGCCCGCGUCCCAUCAGCUAGUUGGUAGGGUAACGGCCUACCAAGGCGACGACGGGUAGCUGGUCUGAGAGGACGACCAGCCACACGGGAAUUGAGAUACGGUCCCGACUCCUACGGGAGGCAGCAGUGGGGAAUCUUGGGCAAUGGGGGAAACCCUGACCCAGCGACGCCGCGUGGGGGAUGAAGGCUUUCGGGUCGUAAACCCCUGUUAGGUGGGACGAACGUCCCCCUGCAAAUAGCUGGGGGAUUUGACGGUACCACCAGAGAAAGCCCCGGCUAACUCCGUGCCAGCAGCCGCGGUAAUACGGAGGGGGCGAGUGUUGUUCGGAAUUACUGGGCGUAAAGGGCGCGCAGGCGGCCUGGCAAGUCGAGUGUGAAAUCCCUUGGCUUAACUAAGGAAUGGCGCUCGAAACUACCUUGCUGGAGGGCGGGAGAGGGAAGUGGAACUCUCGGUGUAGGGGUGAAAUCUGUAGAUAUCGAGAGGAACACCGGUGGCGAAGGCGGCUUCCUGGCCCGUACCUGACGCUGAGGCGCGAAAGCGUGGGGAGCAAACAGGAUUAGAUACCCUGGUAGUCCACGCCCUAAACGAUGGGCACUAGGUGUGGGCGGUAUUAAUCCCGCCUGUGCCGUAGCUAACGCAUUAAGUGCCCCGCCUGGG